rnacentral:lncRNA from 1 species
AGUUGUAAGGAUGGAAACAAACACUUCUGUUUCUGAACCAGAGUGGGUUCUCAGAGUCUUGGCUUUCUUUCUGCAGCCUGUCUGCCUCCUAAGCAGCUGAGAUUGUUUCCCCACUACAGAUGAGUGAUAAGCUGACUGCACCCUCACGGAUAAUUCUAUCAGCACACACCCCAUCUCUCCAACAUGACUGGGCCACCAGGAUGCAUCACAGUCCUGACCCCAAUGCAGGAGACUGAAAGUCACCAAGGACUGAGACAUGCUGUCGAGCCACAAUCAGAAGAGAAACUGGAGUUGAAGAAGAGCCAGGUCUGGCCACACAGAGAAGUGAAAACCUCCAUUUAAUGGUCAGAGGCAAAGUACAAAGUUAGGCAUCAGAGAAGUGUUCCGUUUUGGUCACUAUUAUUUCUUAAGAAUCUUUCUGAACACUCCAGAACUAAAGGACUAGAAGUCCAGGGCCCUUG